ACCUGACGCUAGGGGUGUUGGUGAAUUCACCGACUGAGAAUAACCCUUUGAACCUGAUAGAGAUAAUGCUCGCGCAGGGAAGCAAGAAUAGAAAGAU
rnacentral:ncRNA from 19 species